UUCUCUCUCUCACGUAUUCGGUGACAAUAGUAAUCACAUCUAUUUAAGGAAAAUCAAGAUUCAAAACCUAAAAAUCUCUAAAUGGAGGAAGAGGUGGUUAAGACCUUCAUAUGAGGGGGGAAUCGAGAGAAGACUGAAGCCAAUGGGUUCAAUAUAAGGUCAACUAGGUGAUCGAGGCAAGGCAGGUUGUUUUUGCUAGAUUGAUUUGUUUUAUUGAAGCAAGGUUUUGUUGUGUUAGAUAUUUUGUAAUGGUGACAACAUUUUUCAAACGAAAAUUGGGUUUAUACAUCUAA